rnacentral:rRNA from 4 species
CACACGACUCUCGGCAACGGAUAUCUUGGCUCUCGCAUCGAUGAAGAACGUAGCGAAAUGCGAUACCUGGUGUGAAUUGCAGAAUCCCGCGAACCAUCGAGUCUUUGAACGCAAGUUGCGCCCGAGGCCACUCGGCCGAGGGCACGCCUGCCUGGGCGUCACGC